GGCCUUCAUCCUGAUGCUGGGGCUCAAUACGUCACAUUGCCGCUCUGCCAAUCACAGGGCAAAGAAGAAACGUCCUUUUUUAUUUUACUGUGGUCUGUGGUUGUUCACCUCCGCUAUCCGGCAUAGCACUAUUAGCAUACCCAUUCUUUCCUAGGCUUCUUUAGGAUUCUAUUAUCAUUUGGAAUUCAUGGCCAUCUCUGAAACAUCGGUUCGGGAUGCAGGCGGCAGCCGGAUACUCCAGAGACCAUCAUAUAUUGAUAUAUAUGCAACUAUAAGUGUUCAGCCCUGAACUCAGCACCAUAAGAUGGCACUGCACUGAGCCCUAUAGUGAAACGUCGAUCAAAAUAGUGGAAGUGGACUCUUGUGAUUGCUGCAGGUGGUGCUCUGAUCAGAACUGUACAGAAAUUGGACACGGUCCAUUAAGACAAGGAGAUUUUUUGAUGGUCGGCUUGGAACUCACAAUGGAUGACACAAUGGAGAAAACGCGUCCAGCUACAAUGACAACAUGGAGAAACCAUUAACAGCCAACACGAAGGAUAUAGAAAACAACCUCUCCAAAAGUGUAUGCCAAUGAUCAUUAAAAGGAAAACUCAAGGUAUUGGCUAGACCAAUGAACACAAGGUUCUCUGGUGAUGUAUGAAACCUGUUGUGUAUUUGUCCACUCUUCUACAUCAAUUUUUUUUUACUUCUUCCCACUUACGUACAGAAUCACGUCUAUUUACAGAUCCAUCUACACCUACAUACAGACUGCUCCAAUCUAUCACAGGAGCCAGAAGCGUUCAACACGAGUUUAAUGUCCUUUAAGGGUACGUUCCCACACAGCGUAUUUUGCUGCGUAUUUGCUGCGUAUUUGGUGCUGCGUAUUUUCCUACCCAUUGACUUCAACAGAGAAAAUAAAAUACGCAGCAGCAAAUACGCCGUGUGGGAAUGUACCCUAAAGGCGUACUCCACUGCUAGACAUCUUAUCACCUAUCCAAAAGGAUAGGGGAUAAGAUGUCUGAUCCAGGGGGUCCCGCUGCUUUGGCCCCUUGCGCUCUCCCACAGCACCCGGCGUUCUAAACAAAUACCGGGUUCCUGCGGCAGUGGUUGUGAUGACCAGUUGAUUUAAAAAAAAAAUUCCACUGGAGUACCCCUUUAAUAAGAUGGGCAAACCUUUUUAAUGGAAUACUACUAUUAUACUAUUUCAGGUGAUUUUUUUCAGGAUAAGUUAUCUUGUGUGUGUACAUGAAUAGUAGCACUAUUUCUGGCCAUUACAUAAACAUGUAUACAAGAUUUUUCUUUACCAUCAGAUUGGUGUGCAGGCGUCAUCUUUUAUUUUCAGUUGUUGCUGAGUUAGUGAGUGGAUCCGAACGUCUAUGGUGUCUGCCAUACACUGCAGACGCAGAACAGGUGAUCGUGUACUUUUUUGUCUCUGUACACACCAGAAGAAGCAGCAGCAAUGAGGCUGUGUUCACACUUCGGAAUGUCCGCGUGGAAAAUCUCUGCGGGCGCCUGCGACGGAACUGGGAUCCCGAGGGCGCGGGUGGUUAAUGAGGUUGUUACGGGCGAGAGCAGACGCUCACAGAACAUACAUCAGGUGCUGCAAAAUCUCGUAAACCUCAAAUGCCACUGGGAGGUGAUGAAAUGGCACGGAGGUGAUGAAAUGGCACGGAGGUACUAUCUCUAAAAACUGUGACAAAAUGUUUGUGGUAGCAGGCAGGAAUGGACACACAUUGCGGGAGAGGAACACACAUCUUACGGGUAAUGGUCAGAAAUCCAGUGGGAGCGGGACUAAGAAAACAGUCCCACGCUGGUC